rnacentral:rRNA from 1 species
CCUACGGGAGGCAGCAGUGAGGAAUAUUGGUCAAUGGACGAGAGUCUGAACCAGCCAAGUAGCGUGAAGGAUGACUGCCCUAUGGGUUGUAAACUUCUUUUAUAUGGGAAUAACAUGUUCCACGUGUGGGAUUUUGUAUGUACCAUUUGAUUCAGGAUCGGCUAACUCCGUGCCAGCAGCCGCGGUAAUACGGAGGAUCCGAGCGUUAUCCGGCUUUAUUGGGUUUAAAGGGAGCGUAGGUGGAUUGUUAAGUCAGUUGUGAAAGUUUGCGGCUCAACCGUAAAAUUGCAGUUGAAACUGGCAGUCUUGAGUACAGUAGAGGUGGGCGGAAUUCGUGGUGUAGCGGUGAAAUGCUUAGAUAUCACGAAGAACUCCGAUUGCGAAGGCAGCUUACUAAACUGCCACUGACGUUGAUGCUCGAAAGUGUGGGUAUCAAACAGGAUUAGAUACCCGAGUAGUC